CCCUGGGAACCCGUGGCUACUCCCCCGUAGUCUUGGCCGUAUUGGAAACGGUUAAGUAUAGCUCAGGCGCCUUGGGAAGGGCUCGCGUUCGAUUAUCUGGUUGGUGGGGUAACGGCCUACCAAGGUGAUGAUCGAUAGCUGGUCUGAGAGGAUGAUCAGCCACACUGGGACUGAGAUACGGCCCAAACUCCUAUGGGGGGCAGCAGCGAGGAAUAUUGGACAAUGGGCGCAAGCCUGAUCCAGCAACGCCGCGUGGAGGAAGAAGGCCUUUGGUUGUAAACUCCUUUUGUGCGGGAUGAGACAAGGACAGUACCGCACGAAUAAGUCACGGCUAACUAGGUGCCAGCAGCCGCGGUAAU
rnacentral:rRNA from 1 species